ACUGACACGCUGUCCUUUCCCUAUUAACACUAAAGGACACUAGAAGAGACCCUUUCGAUUUAAGGCUGUUUUGCUUGUCCAGCCUAUUCUUUUUUACUGGCUUGGGUCUGUCGCGGUGCCUGAAGCUGUCCCCGAGCCACGCUUCCUGCUUUCCCGGGCUUGCUGCUUGCGUGCGCUUGCUGUGGGCAGCUUGUGACAACUGGGCGCUGUGACUUUGCUGCGUGUCAGACGUUUUUCCCGAUUUCCCCGAGGUGUUGUCACACCUGUCCCGGUUACGAGACCCAUGUGUGAGGCCAUUGUCUGGAGUGGAGUCCGGACAUCGCUCUCUUUUUUUUCUUCUCUUGGAGUCCCGAGCCUCCGCUCUUUUCUCUUCCCGGUCUUUCUUCCAUAUGCCUCCCGAGUGCAUUUUUUUUUUUUUGUUUUUUUUGUUUUUGUUUUUUUUUUGGGGAGGUGGAGAGUCCCGGGUACUUCACUCCUGUCUGCGGUGUCCAAGUGUUCAUGCCACGUGCCUCCCGAGUGCACUUUUUUUGUGGCAGUCGCUCGUUCUGUUCUCUUGUUCUGUGUCUGUAUCCGUAUCCGUAACUGUCUUGCCCCGCGUGUAAGACAUUCCUAUCUCGCUUGUUUCUCCCGAUUGCGCGUCGUUGCUCACUCUUAGAUCGAUGUGGUGCUCCGGAGUUCUCUUCGGGCCAGGGCCUAAGCCGCGCCAGGCGAGGGACGGACAUUCAUGGCGAAUGGCGGCCGCUCUUCUCGUUCUGCCAGCGGGCCCCUCGUCUCUCCACCCCAUCCGUCUGCCGGUGGUGUGUGGAAGGCAGGGGUGCGGCUCUCCGGCCCGAGCGCUGCCCCGCGCGCACUUUUCUCAGUGGUUCGCGUGGUCCUUGUGGAUGUGUGAGGCGCCCGGUUGUGCCCUCACGUGUUUCACUUUGGUCGUGUCUCGCUUGACCAUGUUCCCAGAGUCGGUGGAUGUGGCCGGUGGCGUUGCAUACUCCUCCGUCUGGUGUGUGCACGCGCUGUUUCUUGUAAGCCUCGAGGUGCUCCUGGAGCGUUCCAGGUUUGUCUCCUAGGUGCCUGCUUCUGAGCUGGUGGUGGCGCUUCCCAUUCCCUGGUGUGCCUCCGGUGCUCCGUCUGGCUGUGUGCCUUCCCGUUUGUGUCCGAGAAGCCCGUGAGAGGGGGGUCGAGGAGAGAAGGAGGGGCAAGAGCCCCCUUCUUCGUCGGGUGAGCGCCCACCCCGCGCACUAGUACGCCUGUGCGUAGGGCUGGUGCUGAGCGGUCGCGGCUGGCCUUGGAAAGUUUCUCGAGACUCAUUGCUUUCCCGUGGGGAGCUUUGAGAGGCCUGGCUUUCGGGGGGGACCGGUUGCAGGGUCUCCCCUGUCCGCGGAUGCUCAGAAUGCCCUUGGAAGAGAACCUUCCUGUUGCCGCAGACCCCCCCGCGCGGUCGCCCGCGUGUUGGUCUUCUGGUUUCCCUGUGUGCUCGUUGCAUGCAUCCUCUCUCGGUUGCCGGGGCUCGUCGGGGUUUUGGGUCCGUCCCGCCCUCAGUGAGAAAGUUUCCUUCUCUAGCUAUCUUCUGGAAAGGGUGCGGGCUUCUUACGGUCUCGAGGGGUCUCUCCCGAAUGGUCCCCUCGAGGACUCGCCCCUGAUCCGCCUCCCCGCGCGCAGCGUUUGCUCUCUCGUCUACCGCGGCCCGCGCCUCCCCGCCCCGAGUUCGGGGAGGGAUCACGCGGGGCAGAGCCUGUCUGUCGUCCUGCCGUUGCUGCGGAGCCAUGUGGCUCCGGUUGUGUGGUGGUGGCUGGGGAAAGGGCUCCGUGCACACCCCCGCGUGCGCGGUACUUUCCUCCCCUCCUGAGGGCCGCCGUGCGGGACGGGGUGUGGGUAGGCGACGGUGGGCUCCCGGGUCCCCACCCGUCUUCCCGUGCCUCACCCGUGCCUUCCGUCGCGUGCGUCCCUCUCGCUCGCGUCCACGACUUUGGCCGCUCCCGCGACGCGGGCCUGCGCCGCGCGUGGUG
rnacentral:misc_RNA from 1 species